UACAGAGGUCUCAAGCGUUGUUCGGAUUCAUUGGGCGUAAAGGGUGCGUAGGCGGCGCGGUAAGUCGGGUGUGAAAAUCUUGGAGCUUAACUCCGAAACUGCAUUCGAUACUGCCGUGCUUGAGGACUGGAGAGGAGACUGGGAAAUUUACGGUGUAGCGGUGAAAUGCGUAGAUAUCGAUAAGGAAGACCAGUGGCGAAGGCGGGU
rnacentral:rRNA from 1 species